rnacentral:rRNA from 1 species
GACAGAGGGUGCAAACGUUGUUCGGAAUUACUGGGCGUAAAGCGAGUGUAGGCGGUCUGAAAAGUCGGGAGUGAAAGCCCCGGGCUCAACCCGGGAAGUGCACUCGAAACUGCCAGGCUAGAGUAUCGGAGAGGUUGGUGGAAUUCUCGGUGUAGAGGUGAAAUUCGUAGAUAUCGAGAGGAACACCGGUGGCGAAGGCGGCCAACUGGACGAAUACUGACGCUGAGACUCGAAAGCGUGGGGAGCAAACAGG